rnacentral:lncRNA from 1 species
UUUCAUGAAACUAUAAAUACAUGCAAUAAUUACAUAAUAAUGAAAUUAAAUUAAAUAUGCAAAUAAAUAUAAUUUUAAUGCCAUUUUAUUUAACUUAAGUACAGCAGACACAACUUUGGUAUACAAGAUAACUGACCCUAGAUGGCUACUUGUCAUUUUAACAAGGUAAAUCAAUGCUCAAGUUAAGGUAGAUCAGGGUUUCUUUUUCUUCUUUAAAUUCCUGAUCUACCUUAUCACUGACUAAUUUAAAGCUGUUUCAUAUGAAUGCUUAAAAAGGAUUGUUAUAAGUUGCCCAUUGCAAACACUUUAAAUGUUUAAAUAAUUAUCUCCCUUAUCACAAGUACACCUAAAUUGCAGAUUAUAUGCAACUUAAUUUCUAUUAGCAAUUGAUGUAACCAAUUUGGCGAUCAAUAUAACAAAUAUGUUUUGUGAUGAUAAAAGUUUCUUUUCUUUGCCCCUGCCAUCAAUAGAAUUGUGGGAUUAAGCCCUAUAACCUUUAAUGGCUUUAUCCAUCCUUCUGUACCCUCUAAAGCAAGUCCCAAAAUUGAUUUCCUCCUUUACUUUAGAUUGCCUCAAUCAAAUGUUAUGAAGCUUAUACAAAAUGCUCAUCACCUCAAAAUAUAAAUUAACUUCAAAUUUGGGUGGAGUCAGUUUUACCAUUCUCCAGUUAUUCCCCUUUUAUAAAGUUGUAUGUAUCAUCUGUUUCCCAUGGACACAUUCUCCAUUAAUUUUUUUGUAAGGUAUGCAUAAUGUGUAUAUGUAUCUCUAUUCCGAAACUGGGGAAGUUCAUGAUUUUCAGAAGGAUGCAUAGGAUUCCAGAAAGUUCUAAAUGUUUAAAUUAUAACAACUUAUGGCAAGCCAUCAUCAAAGAAAAAAUAUAAAAUCAUAGUUUUCCUCUAUCUAUUGGGACUUCUAAUAUUCAGUUAUCAUUUAAUUAUAUCUAAAAGGCACAUGCCUUUGCAAAUUAUAUGUUUCUUUUAGUUCUGAAAAUUGGCUUGAACACUCAAUUAAAUUUUGAAGUGGACUAUUUUACUUCCACUGAGGCAAAUUAAAACUAGAAGCUAGUCGCUCACCUUGGUCUAUGUCCAUAUUAAACAAAGGACACAGAUGAAUUCAUGACAAAAUUGUGUUUUGUGAUGGUGAUGUGUUUCUAGAAAUUAAUUUACUGAACACUCUUUCUUUAAACAAUAUAUAUAUCUAUAAUGCACUUUGACCAGUAGUUUAAGAGAAAAACAUUUUGUAACAAGAAUGUGUCCAAAGUACACGGAUGCCCCACUCGCACUAUCAUUUUCCAUGUUUUAUGGACUUUGAAAUUGGGUAAAUAUCUAAUUUGGCAUUAAAAUUAGAAAGAUUAUACUAUAGGGAACAUGUGUACUAAGUUUCAAGUUGAUUGGACUUCAAUUUCAUCAAAAACUACCUUGACCAAAAACUUAAACCUGAAGUGGGACGAACGAACGAACGGAGCCACAGAUCAGAAAACAUAAUGCCCCUCUACUAUCGUAGGUGGGGCAUAAAAAUUACCAAAAUUUACAAAUUUAUGAAAACUGUUAAAGUUGACUAAAAAGGGCAAUAACUCCUUAAGGGGUCAAUUGACCAUUUUGCUCAUGCAAACUUAUUUGUAGAUUCUACUUUGCUGAACAUUAUUGCUGUUUACAGUUUAUCUCUAUCUAUAAUAAUAUUCGAGAUAAUAACCAACCAGAUGCUCCGCAGGGCACAGCUUUAUACGACUGCAGAGGUCAAACCCUGAACAGUUGGGGCAAGUAUGGACACAACAUUUAAGCUUGAUACAGCUCUGAAUUUGGAUUGUGAUUAAAUAGUUGACACAACAUAGGUUACUGACACAGAUUGAUUGUGGUCUAAGAACUUAAACUUAAAAACUUAAAAAUUUUAAAUUGGACAUUUACCUAUUAUGGUCCAUUAUCCAACUAGAGGCUCUAAAGAGCCUGUGUCGCUCACCUUGGUCUUUGUGAAUAUUAAACAAAGCACACAGAUGGAUUCAUGACAAAAUUGUGUUUUGGUGAUGGUGAUGUGUUUGUACAUCUUACUUAACUGAACAUUCUUGCUGCUAACAAUUAUUUCUAUCUAUAUUGAACUUGGCCCAGUAGUUUCAGUGGAAAAUGUUUUAUGAAAAUUGUUAAAAAUUGACUAUCAAGGGCAAUAACUCCUAAAGGGGUCAACUGACCAUUUCGGUAAUGUUGACUUAUUUGUAAAUCUUACUAUGCUGAACAUUAUUGCAGUUUACAGUUUAUCUCUAUCUAUAAUAAUAUUCAAGGUAAUAACCAAAAACAGCAAAAUUUUCCUAAAGUUACCAAUUCAGGGGCAGCAACCCAACAACGUAAUGUCCGAUUCAUCUGAAAAUUUCAGGGCAGAUAGAUGUUGACCUGAUAAACAUUUUACUCAUGUCAGAUUUGCUUUAAAUGCUUUGGUUUUUGAGUUAUAAGCCAAAAACUGCAUUUUACCCCCUAUGUUCUAUUUUUAGCCAUGGCGGCUAUCAUGGUUGGUUGGCCGGGUCAAGCCACACAUUUUUUAAACUAGAUACCCCAAAGAUGAUUGUGGCCAAGUUUGGAUUAAUUUGGCCCGGUAGUUUCAGAGGAGAAGAUUUUUGUAAAAGAUUACUAAGAUUUACGAAAAAUUAUUAAAAAUUGACUAUAAAGGGCAAUAACUCCUAAAGGGGUCAACUGACCAUUUCGGUCAUGUUGACUUAUUUGUGAAUUUUACUAUGCUGAACAUUAUUGCAGUUUACAGUUUAUCUCUAUCUAUAAUAAUAUUCAAGGUAAUAACCAAAAACAGCAAAAUUUCCUUAAAAUUACCAAUUCAGGGGCAGUAACCCAACAACAGGUUGUCCGAUUCAUCUGAAAAUUUCAGAGCAGAUAGAUUUUGACCUGAUGAACAAUUUUCCACAUGUCAGAUUUGCUCUAAAUGCUUUGGUUUUUGAGUUAUAAGCCAAAAACUGCAUUUUACCCCCAUGUUCUAUUUUUAGCCAUGGCGGCCAUCUUGGUUGGUUGACCGGGUCACCGGACACAUUUUUAAACCUAGAUACCCCAAUGAUGAUUGUGGCCAUGUUUGGUUUAAUUUGGCCCAGUAGUUUCAGAGGAGAAGAUUUUUCUAAAAGAUGACUAAGAUUUACGAAAAAUGGUUAAAAAUUGACUAUAAAGGGCAAUAACUCCUAAAGGGGUCAAUUGACCAUUUCGGUCAUGUUGACUUAUUUGUAAAUCUUACUUUGCUUAACAUUAUUGCUGUUUACAGUUUAUCUUUAUCUAUAAUAAUAUUCAAGAUAAUAACCAAAAACAGCAAAAUUUCCUUAAAAUUACAUAUUCAGGG